UACGUAGGGUGCAAGCGUUGUCCGGAAUUAUUGGGCGUAAAGAGCUCGUAGGCGGUUUGUCGCGUCGAAUGUGAAAUCCCGGGGCUCAACCCCGGGCCUGCAUUCGAUACGGGCAGACUAGAGUUCGGUAGGGGAGUCUGGAAUUCCUGGUGUAGCGGUGAAAUGCGCAGAUAUCAGGAGGAACACCAAUGGCGAAGGCAGCUCGCUGGAACGGUACUGACGCUGUGGCGCGAAAGCGUGGGGAGCAAACAGG
rnacentral:rRNA from 1 species